rnacentral:precursor_RNA from 1 species
UGAGAGAGAGAUAGAGAGUUGAACAAAUUCUUCAUAGCAACUAGGGGAAGGAUCCAAAGGGAUCGCAUUGAUCCUAAUUAAGGUGAAUUCUCCCCAUAUUUCCUUUAUAAUUGGCAAAUAAAUCACAAAAAUUUGCUUGGUUUUGGAUCAUGCUAUCUCUUUGGAUUCAUCCUUCGGUAGCUUCCUCUUCGAUCGUAUGGCAAAUUUCUCAACUAUCAUGGAUACUUCACCGGGAACUUUGCUGGCUUUAAGAUUCCGCAACCUUGUAUCUCAAGCCUACAACAGUAUACGAACUCUCUUCUUACAAUUUUCAUUUUUUAAAAGGUAAGUUUCAAAGAAUUUUGACCU